rnacentral:sRNA from 1 species
AUGGAUUUACAUGAGAUUGAUCACAAUUUCUACUAUUUGCACAUAAUUGACUUGUUUAGCCGUUUGAGUGCAGCAGCUAUUAUCAGGAGAAAAGACUCACAGUUAGUUGUUGACAAAUUCAUGCAGAUAUGGGUUAGUGUAUAUGGUGCUCCUGAAGUUGGAGUAUACACUGACAAUGGUGGGGAAUUCAAUUCUCAAAUUUUUCGUGAUAUGGCUGAAAAUCUAAACAUGUCAGUUAAGACGACAGCAGGAUACAGUCCCUGGUCAAAUGGAAUUGUAGAACGACAUAAUGCAACUCUAACUGAAACAGUAAACAAAAUCAGAGAAAGCUCAAAUCUAUCUUGGGAAACUGCAAUUAGCUGGGCUGUGAAUGCCAAAAAUAGUCUUGUAAAUGUGUAUGGUUACAGUCCUUAUCAAAUUGUGUUUGGAAGAAAUCCUAACCUGCCAUCAACACUAGUCAAUAAACCUCCAGCUCUUGAAGGAGAAACAAUGAGUAAAACAAUGGGAAAACACUUAGUUGGUCUUCACGAGGCAAGGAAAGCAUUUGUAGCAUCAGAAUCCUCAGAGAAAAUUAGGCGUGCUCUUCGAAAGCAGGUUCGUCCCUCAGGUGAGAAAUUCAGAAAUGGAGAUAAAGUAUACUUUCUUAGAGACAAUCAAUGGAAAGGACCUGGUACAGUUAUUGGACAGGACAAUGUUGUUGUGUUUAUAAGAUAUGGAGGAACUUAUGUAAGAGUGCAUGAAUGUAGGAUUUUAAGAGAUAUUGAUGAACAAAAAGAUAAGAAAAACAAACAACAGGAAAAGAGGGUAACAUUGAAAGAAGGUCUAAAAACUCAAACUUGAACAAGAAUAAGGCUGAGCAUGAAGUCCUUUAUUAUGAUAGUGAUGAAGAGGAAGACUCGCAUGCCAACAAUCAGUCAGACAAUGAACAAGGUGAAAGUGACAAUGAAGUAGAAGGACAUGAAUCUGAAUUAGGAAGUCAGGCAGGUGACUCUGAACUAGACAGCGAUAAUCCUGUGAAUCAAGGGCAUGAAUCUUAUGAGGAAAGUCGAUCAGGAGGUGACUCGGAGCUUGAUAAUGAUAAUCAUGAAGAUACUCCAGUGAGAGAACAGAGCAAUGAGCAAGCAACUUCUGUAGUACACAGUAGAAGUGUUGGUUCUAAAUGUAAUAAAGCAUUACUUUUAAAAAAGGACCAGAAAGUGAACUUUAAAAUGCCAGGUGAUGAUACUCCACGAGAAGGAGUUGUUCUGAGUAGAGCUGGUAAAGCAUCAUCAAGUAAAAAGAAUUGGUACAAUGUAGAAUAUAGGAAACCUGAAGAGCUUAAAGGUAACAAGUUAUCAAUAAUAGACUUAAGUACAGUUGAUGAAUUGCAAGUUGUAAAGUCUGACACAGAUCAGGAUACAGAGGAUGACGAAGAAUCAGAAGAAGCAUUAUUCAAUGAGAUUGACUUUUGUGAUGCUCGUAAAGCUGAACUUGAAAAUUGGAAGAAACAUCAUGUUUAUCAAGAAGUUGAAGACUAUGGUCAGUCAUAUGUAUCCACUAGAUGGGUAUAUACUAUAAAAGAAGCUGAUAAUGAAAUACACAGGAAAGCAAGACUUGUUGCAAAAGGUUUUGAAGAAGAUUGUUUGGAUGAAAUACAGAAGAACUCUCCUACAUGUGACAAACAAUCUCUUAGACUCAUUCUUUCAAUCAUAAUGCAAAAGAAAUGGUCCAUCAAUUCCAAUAGACAUUAA